GACGUAGGGGGGCCAGCGUUGCUCGGAAUUACUGGGCGUAAAGGGUUCGUAGGCGGUGUGGCAAGUCGGGAGUGAAAUCUCUGGGCUUAACUCAGAGGCUGCUUCCGAAACUGCCGUGCUAGAGUGCGGGAGAGGCGAGUGGAAUUGCAGGUGUAGCGGUGAAAUGCGUAGAUAUCUGAAGGAACAUCAGUGGCGAAAAGCGACCUCCUGGACCAAUACUGACGCUCAGGUGCGAAAGCGUGGGGAGCAAACAGG
rnacentral:rRNA from 1 species